rnacentral:rRNA from 1 species
GAUGAACGCUAGCGAUAGGCUUAACACAUGCAAGUCGAGGGGCAGCACAAGGUAGCUUGCUAUCUGGGUGGCGACCGGCGCACGGGUGCGUAACGCGUAUGCAACUUGCCCUAUACAGGAGGAUAACCCGUCGAAAGACGGACUAAUACUGCGUAUGCUCACAACUUGGCAUCAAGUGGUGAGGAAAGAAAUUCGGUAUAGGAUAGGCAUGCGUCCCAUUAGCUUGUUGGUGAGGUAACGGCUCACCAAGGCAACGAUGGGUAGGGGAACUGAGAGGUUUAUCCCCCACACUGGUACUGAGACACGGACCAGACUCCUACGGGAGGCAGCAGUGAGGAAUAUUGGUCAAUGGGCGCGAGCCUGAACCAGCCAAGUCGCGUGAAGGAUGACUGUCUUAUGGAUUGUAAACUUCUCUUAUACGGGAAUAACAAGAGUCACGUGUGACUCCCUGCAUGUACCGUAUGAAUAAGCAUCGGCUAACUCCGUG